UUACGACCAUAUUAAGUUUAAACACAGGUUCUCCUCCGAUCACCAAAGUUAAACCACGUUGAGCUUGGUCAGUAACUAGAUGGGUGUCUUCUUGUAAAUCCCAUGUGCUGUAA